rnacentral:misc_RNA from 1 species
AACUUUUGGCAACGGAUCACUUGGCACUCGCAUCGAUGAAGAACGCAGCGAAAUGCGAUAAGUAAUGUGAAUUGCAGAAUUCAGUGAAUCAUCGAAUCUUUGAACGCACCUUGCACUCCUUGGUAUUCCGAGGAGUAUGCCUGUUUGAGUGUCAUUAAUAUAUCAACCUCUCAAGCUUUUGCUCGUGGAGUGUAUGGAUGUGGGGGGAUUAUUUUGCUGGCCUUUUCAUGAGGUCGGCUCCCCUGAAAUGCAUUGGCAGAAUGAUUUUGCUGACCGUUUAUUGGUGUGAUAACUAUCUACGCUGUUGACGUGAAGCAAGUUCAGCUUAUAAUGGUCCAUUGACUUGGACAACAUAUUUAUUAAUGUGACCUCAAAUCAGGUAGGACUACCCGCUGAACUUAAGCAUAUCAAUAAGCGGAGGCU